rnacentral:rRNA from 1 species
AUCCAGACUCCUACGGGAGGCAGCAGUGGGGAAUAUUGGGCAAUGGGCGCAAGCCUGACCCAGCAACGCCGCGUGAAGGAAGAAGGCUUUCGGGUUGUAAACUUCUUUUCUCAGGGACGAAGCAAGUGACGGUACCUGAGGAAUAAGCCACGGCUAACUACGUGCCAGCAGCCGCGGUAAUACGUAGGUGGCAAGCGUUAUCCGGAUUUACUGGGUGUAAAGGGCGUGUAGGCGGGAGCGCAAGUCAGAUGUGAAAACUCAGGGCUCAACCCUGAGCCUGCAUUUGAAACUGUGUUUCUUGAGUGCUGGAGAGGCAAUCGGAAUUCCUAGUGUAGCGGUGAAAUGCGUAGAUAUUAGAAGGAACACCGAUGGCGAAGGCGACUUUCUGGACUGUACCUGACGCUGAGGCGCGAAAGCGUGGGUAGCGAACGGGAUUAGAUACCCCGGUAACU